rnacentral:lncRNA from 1 species
AUAUUGGUAACUCGUAAAUCAAUGAGCGGACAACUCUUAUCCAAUACUUCUCAAGCAAGUUGCAGCGAUUCGGUCUCUAAAUCAUGUAGGCCUUACCUGACAGAUAUUGGCUCCAUUUCUUAGUUAAGUCAGACCCACCGUUCAAUGCAAGAGCAAAGUCAUCAUUGGAUCCCUCACCUGAUAGAUAUUGGAUCCAACUCCAUCUAUACCCCACAGCAUCUCAUGCUAAUAGAGUGGCAUCUUUCCGAUGCAAUUCAAUCAUUGUAUCUAGCUAAGAACAGUCAACGCCAAUAGGACGUCCGCACAUCUACAAUGGGGGAAGACCGCUCGACUUAAUAUGUGCGAGGAGAUUUAAUUUAGGUCUCUUCUUUUAAUUGUUUUAAUUUACAUCUUAUGUAAAUCUACAAUUAUCAAGGAUCCAAUUGAAAGAUCCUCAUUUGGUUCACCAAGAUUGGAACCAUGGUGCAGAUGCAACAUGUAUAGUGAAUUCAACACUAGGCACCCAAAAAAAACUUAAUCGACCAAAUUGAUCAGGUAAGUUCAAGAUUGGUGGGAGGCUCCCUGUGCAUAAGCAACAGUCCUAAUUAAGUAACCAUCGUUCUAUCACUUGUUUUAGACACCAAUCGAUUAAUUAGUUUCAAAUUGGUUUAGCCCAUUGGUUUUUGCCACCACAGAUUGCAAAAUUGCAAAUUAAUUAGACAUGUAUUCAUGAUACAACUCUACUUCUAGAGUUUGUAGUGAUUCAUGGAGAUCACUAUAUGUAUCCAUGAAAAACACUCGUAUAACUAUCACAUAGUUCUUAUAUUCAUGCUAAAUUUCUUAUGAUGUUUUAUAUAUUAAUCUCUUUUCAUCUUAGGACAAUCUUAGAUAUUCGUACUUAAUUUUAAAAAUUUAUUCUAAGAUCUUUUAAAACAAAUAUGCCUCCCACUAUUUUCUUGAAUCUCUUACACUCAAAUAGAGAGACGAAAGCCCUUCACGACUAGGAUUUCAGAUGGGUACUGCGGUCCCACUGAUAUACGUGCACCUCAUCUAUCAGAUAUUAGUAACUCGUAAAUCAAUGAGCGGACAACUUUUAUCCAAUGCUUCUCAAGCAAGUUGUAACGAUUCGAUUUCUAAAUCAUAUAGGCCUUAUCUGACAGAUAUUGGCUCCAUUUCUUAGUUAAGUCAGACCCAUCGUUCAAUGCAAGAGUAAAGCCAUCAUUGGAUCCCUCACCUGAUAGAUAUUGGAUCCAACUCCAUCUUUACCCCACAGCAUCUCAUGCUAAUAGAGUGGUUGCAUCUUUUCGAUGCAAUUCAAUCAUUGUAUCUAGCUAAGAACAGUCAACGCCAGUAGGACGUUCGCACAUCUACAAUGGGGGAAGACCGCUCGACUUAAUAUGUGCAAGGAGAUUUAAUUUAGGUCUCUUCUUUUAAUUGUUUUAAUUUACAUCUUAUGUAAAUCUACAAUUAUCGAGGAUUCAAUUGAAAGAUCCUCACUUGGUUCACCAAGAUUGGAACUAUGGUGCAGAUGCAACAUGUAUAGUGAAUUCAACACUAGG